AUUGAAUUUAUUAUAUCAAAUUAAAUAAUUGAGGCUAAAUUAAUUUGAGGCUCAAAUAAUUAAUUUGAGGCUAAUAUUUGGAACAAUAUUCUGUAAUCAGAAUAUUAAAAAGGGUUCUUUAAUCAAGUGACAGUAAAAACAAAUAUAAUAGACCAUUUGGGUGUUUGCAAACAGGGAUGACGUGUUUAUGGGCGGAGCCUAACUGGCGACAGAAAAUUACAGUUCUGCAGUUGAAGCUAUGAGUUGAAGUCAAUGGAAGCCACGGAAUAAAAGAAUAAAAAAGAUUUACAGGCUCCUGUAUCCAGUUGCAUAAAGUAUUUUCCUGCUGCUGAAGUCUUUUGACAAGAUUGUUGAAUCAUGUCACCUCAUGUAGGAGCAGCACAGCCAGGAUGAACAGCCCCUUACAGCUAAAAGGUUAUAGAAAUCUCUGGUGACCUCAAGGCAGAGAACCUCUGAUGUAAUUACAGUAGACAGACAGGUAACAAGAUUUUCAAAUGUGAUGCAUAACUGAUUUUCUAGCACUGCAUCUCAGACAAUCUGCCUGUAUAUUACGCAGCACUACCGCAUUAACAACCAGUUAUACCACAUGGAUUUAAUG